rnacentral:ncRNA from 1 species
GUCGGUCUAACCGCCGGCCGGAUCUUUCGCUCGGUUAGCGGACGUCGCGACCCGUUGGGCGCCGGCCGAAUGGCCCGGGUGACGUUCGUCGCGUCUGUCGCGUUUCGGCGUGACCGUUCGCGCCGAGCCCCGGUGCUCAUGGUCGGCUCGCCCGACGGCAAGAACCGUCGACGCGGCCCCGUCGCAGGCGGGGUCCCGUCGGUCGGCGACGUGUUUCUAGCUACUUUCCGACCCGUCUUGAAACACGGACCAAGGAGUCUAACGUGUGCGCGAGUCAACGGUGAUCUUACGAAAAACCACGUUUGGCGCAAUGAAAGUGAACCGUUUACGGUGCGGACGAUGGCCUAGCGACCGAACCCACCGGCGUUCAAAGUCGCGCUGGUCCGCAGUCCGGGGGCGUCUCCGCCAAGUCGGCUUCGGCCGGCUGGGGGCGCACCCUUAGCGCACACUUUUGGUACCCGAAAGAUGGUGAACUAUGCCUGGCCAGGAUGAAGUCAGGGGAAACCCUGAUGGAGGUCCGCAGCGAUUCUGACGUGCAAAUCUUUCGUCUGAGCUGGGUAUAGUGGCGAAAGACUAAUCGAACCAUCUAUUAUCUGGUUUCCAUCCGAAAUUUCCCCUCAUGAUAGCUGGCGCCGAUGUGUCCCGCCCGAUCGCGUGCGUACUGACGCCGUGUGGGA